ACAUGCCUACAACAUAGCGUUAAUGCAGUAGAUCCCAUUAGAACUCCGCAGUUAAGCGCACUUAGGCUAGAGUAAUAUUGGGAUGGGUGACCGCCUAGGAAGUCCUAGUGUUUUACAUGCU
rnacentral:rRNA from 1 species